rnacentral:rRNA from 1 species
GACGUAGGGCGCGAGCGUUGUCCGGAUUUAUUGGGCGUAAAGAGCUCGUAGGCGGCUCGUUGCGUCGGCUGUGAAAACCCGCAGCUCAACUGUGGGCUUGCAGCUGAUACGGGCGGGCUGGAGUUCGGUAGGGGAGACUGGAAUUCCUGGUGUAGCGGUGAAAUGCGCAGAUAUCAGGAGGAACACCGAUGGCGAAGGCAGGUCUCUGGGCCACUACUGACGCUGAGAAGCGAAAGCAUGGGGAGCGAACAGG